rnacentral:rRNA from 1 species
UACGUAGGGUGCGAGCGUUGUCCGGAAUUAUUGGGCGUAAAGAGCUUGUAGGUGGUUUGUCGCGUCUGCUGUGAAAAUCCGAGGCUCAACCUCGGACUUGCAGUGGGUACGGGCAGACUAGAGUGUGGUAGGGGAGACUGGAAUUCCUGGUGUAGCGGUGGAAUGCGCAGAUAUCAGGAGGAACACCGAUGGCGAAGGCAGGUCUCCUGGGCCAUUAACUGACACUGGAGAAGCGGAAAGCAUGGG